CGAACAGAUCAAUUGAUACAGGCCCCGGAUCGAUUGAGGAUGAGAAGUAUGUGGAUGAACUAAAAAAGAAUGGAAAAGUGGUGCCUUCAGAAGAAGAUUGGUCACGAGUAAGUGCUUUGUUGCCUUUUUUAAAAGUCUUUUAUGAUACCACUGUGAAGAUUUCUGGUUCUCAGUAUGUGACCAGAAACUUAUACAUGAAAGAGAUUUACAGUGGGAGUACGUAUUAAGAUGAUGAGUAUGAGCGAAAAUGAGAUGAUUCGCUCAAUUGCAUUGAAGAUGAUAGACAAGUUUCGCAAGUAUUGGGGGGAUUACAAAAUAAUGAAUCCUUUGAUUUAUCUUGCAACUAUUAUUGAUCCGUGUCUCAAGAUGGAAUGGAUAAGUUGGGUAGUUGAGAAAGUUUAUAUGGAGCAUGAAGCUAAAGAUGUGAUGGAUAUCAUCGAACAAACACUGCAAAAGAUGUUUAAAAGUUAUGAGACUACUUUUGAGCCUACCAAUUCUAUUGAAACGGAUCAAUCAAGUGGAAGUGAAGUUUUGAGUGCUAAUAGUGUGGAUGGUAUUGAUGAUUGGUUGUUUCAAGAUUAUCUGAAACGUAAAAGUCAUGGGAGUGUAGUAAAAUCAGAAUUAGAGAAGUAUUUGUCCGAAGAAUGUGAAGAGAAUGUUCAAAACUUUGAUAUUUUGUAUUGGUGGAAGACGACGAGUUCAUAGUAUAAGAUUCUUUCUUUGAUGGCAAGAGAUCUUUUGGUUAUUCCGGUAUCGACAGUUGCUUCAGAGUCUGCUUUUAGUAUCGGCGGUCGUGUGAUUAGUCCGUGUCGUAGUUGUCUCACUCCGAAGAUGGUUGAAGCUCUUAUUUGCACUCAAGAUUGGAUUCGUAGUCCCGAAGGAUUGAAUAAUAUUGAAGAAACGUUAGAAGAGAUGCAAACACUGAGAUCGAUGAAAUAACCGAAUUGCUCGAAUCACCAAUGCUAAAUUUGGAUGAUUGAUGUGGCGAUCAACGAAUUUUGGAGAACUAGAGUAUGUAAGGUUUUUCAUGAAGAUUCAACAAAUGUUGUUUUACGUAUGGAGGUUUAUGAUUCUUAAUCUUUUUAAUUUAAACAUUAAAUAUAUUUGUAUCCG